rnacentral:rRNA from 1 species
UACGUAGGGUGCGAGCGUUGUCCGGAAUUAUUGGGCGUAAAGGGCUCGUAGGCGGUUUGUCGCGUCGGGAGUGAAAUCCACUGGCUUAACUGGUGGCUUGCUUUCGAUACGGGCAGACUGGAGGUAUGCAGGGGAGAACGGAAUUCCUGGUGUAGCGGUGAAAUGCGCAGAUAUCAGGAGGAACACCAGUGGCGAAGGCGGCUUCCUGGCCUGUUCUUGACGCUGAGGCGCGAAAGCUAGGGGAGCAAACGGG